rnacentral:rRNA from 1 species
UACGGGGGGGGCAAGCGUUGUUCGGAAUUACUGGGCGUAAAGGGCUCGUAGGUGGCCAACUAAGUCAGACGUGAAAUCCCGUCGGCUUAACCGGGGAACUGCGUCUGAUACUGGAUGGCUUGAGUUUGGGAGAGGGAUGCGGAAUUCCGAGGUGUAGCGGUGAAAUGCGUAGAUAUCUGGAGGAACACCGGUGGCGAAGGCGGCGACCUGGGUCGACACUGGACGCUGA